GUCAUAUCUCGAUCUUCCUACUAAAUCAUGCAAACUAACAAACCACAAUUAUUUGAAGAAUACGGCGUGGAGGUGGGCUGCAAUGUAUCCGGAUUUUCUUUGCCGACCAACCUGACCCAGCUCGAGGCUUUCGCCAAAGAAGAGUGGGCCAGCAUCCCACAGGAGACAUGCAGGAAACUUGUGGACACGCACAAGAAUCGUCUAGAAGCAAUCAUAAAAAACAAAGACUAUGCAAUUGACUAUUAAAGAAAGAUAUUGGACUCAGUAAACCGAAGAUAUGAAUAAUUUUGAACAGGACAUUUUUUGAAAAUCCAUAAAUAAAAUACCUUUGAAAUAAAGAAUUUCUUGAAUUGUG